rnacentral:snRNA from 1 species
GACUGUUUAAUUAAAACAAA